CCAACCUUCAAAUAUAGGAAGCCAAUGGCAUGGCAAGACCGCGAGAUGGAUUGGGUAAGUCAAGAUCACACCUCUAAUGCCACUUAAUCCUAAUUCACUUGUGAUUCCUGUCUUCCUGAUCUAUAUUGUUGUUUAUAAACAUGUGAUUCCUGAUAUUAUGAUCAGGCGUGUGUAAAAAUAUGACAAAUUAUAACUCUGCGGGGCAAAGAAUGACAAAGCAAAGAAAGUUAUCGAUGUACCAAGUAACCAGUCAAAUUUAAGAUUGCUUCAAAAAAACCACAGAAUUCCAGAUCUGAGUGUAAAAACAAUAAACUAGUAAACUACAAUGACACUCCCUACUUUCUGUUCUCCAGAACCAACAACAUGACAUCUCACACUGGUGCAUACUCCGUCCAGUAGUCCAGCCAGAAACAAGUGUUGUUUUGCAGUCGUCUUAAUUCAAUGAUUUUAAAUUCUGGUAUCUGGUUAAACAUUACUUGUUAUAUUCUAAGUGUGGGUAUUUGAAAAAUAUCCAGGUAGGUUUGUCUUGGAAGUUUCAUAAACUAUUUUUUUCUAUGUUCUAUAAAUAUUUUGU
rnacentral:lncRNA from 7 species